rnacentral:rRNA from 1 species
GGUUAUUCCGUUACGAACGAGACCUUAACCUGCUAACUAGUCUCCCUGUGAACAACGGGGUGUACUUCUUAGAGGGACUAUUGUGCAAGAAGCCAAUGGAAGUUUAAGGCAAUAACAGGUCUGUGAUGCCCCUAGACGUGCUCGGCCGCACGCGCGUUACAAUGACUGGCGCAGAAAGUUUUUCCUGGCCUGGGAAGGUUCGGGUAAUCUUAUUAAUACCAGUCGUGUUAGGGAUAGUUCUUUGGAAUUUUGGAUCUUGAACGAGGAAUUUCUAGUAAGUGCAAGUCAUCAGCUUGCGUUGAUUAUGUCCCUGCCGUUUGUACACACCGCCCGUCGCUUGUAGUAACGAAUGGUCUGGUGAACCUUCUGGACUGCUCAGCAAUGAGCGGAAAAAUAAGUAAACCCUACCAUUUGGAACAACAAGAAGUCGUAACAAGGUAUCUGUAGGUGAACCUGCAGAUGGAUCAUUA